AGGAAAGUUGAAAAGAACUUUGAAGAGAGAGUUCAAAAGGGCGUGAAACCGCUUAGAAUAAAACGGACGGAGCCGUCAGUGGCCUUCCGGAAUCAGUCGCAUGACGCGCGAUAAUGCAUCUCGCUAGAGCGAAAGUCUGGCGGGUGUAUUAGGAAAUAGUAGCGUUCAUUCGAUGCAUUUCCGGAGGGUAUGCGCCACGACCGAUGCGAAAGGCUAGUGAAUCUGGCGAAUUGAGGUGGAAUCCCUUCGGGGUAUUCAGUACCAGUUCGUCAGCCUAUAGUCGCUAGACCGCAGUAUGCAUCGAGCGCGGAAUACAUCGAACACUGGCAAAAGUGCUCGCUUAAGCGAUGGAUAGUCGGCGGAAUAUUCUGUACCUGCUUGCAGGUUAUGUUUGUUCCCGUUCGGUCUUUGAAUUCGCUGGCGAGUUUAUAGUGUUCGGGCGUCAGUGGCGUCCGAGACGGUCAACCGUCCGACCCGUCUUGAAACACGGACCAAGGAGUCUAACGUAUGCGCGAGCUAAUGAGUGGAAAACUCAUAAGCGCAAUAAAAGUAAAAGCCGUUUCGGACGGUGCGGGGUACGAUCCCGUGGUAUUUAUUUAUCCCGGGCGCAGUACCAUCCCAUCCUGAUCGCUUGUCGGUAGGGUGGAGAUAGAGUGCAUACGUUGGGACCCGAAAGAUGGUGAACUAUGCCUGAGCAGAGCGAAGCCAGAGGAAACUCUGGUGGAGGUUCGUAGCGGUUCUGACGUGCAAAU
rnacentral:rRNA from 1 species